UACAGAGGGUGCGAGCGUUAAUCGGAAUUACUGGGCGUAAAGCGUGCGUAGACGGUAGCGUAAGUCAGAUGUGAAAGCCCCGGGCUCAACCUGGGAACUGCAUUUGAGACUGCUCUGCUUGGGUGCGGAAGAGGGAAGCGGAAUUUCCGGUGUAGCGGUGAAAUGCGUAGAUAUCGGAAGGAACACCAGUGGCGAAAGCGGCUUCCUGGUCCGACACAGACGUUCAGGCACGAAAGCGUGGGGAGCAAACAGG
rnacentral:rRNA from 1 species